rnacentral:rRNA from 1 species
UACAUAGGGCCCAAGCGUUGUUCGGAUUCACUGGGCGUAAAGGGUGCGUAGGCGGUCGGGUAAGUCUGAUGUGAAAUCUCACAGCUUAACUGUGAAACUGCAUUGGAUACUAUUCGGCUUGAGAGUUGGAGGGGGGACUGGAAUUCUUGGUGUAGCAGUGAAAUGCGUAGAUAUCAAGAGGAACACCAGUGGCGAAGGCGAGUCCCUGGACAACUUCUGACGCUGAGGCACGAAAGCUAGGGGAGCAAACAGG